AAAUAUCCAUUAUCUUUUUUAAUUCUAAAAUAAAUUUAAAAUUUUUUUAAAAAAAACCUCUCGCAUGCUCGGAAGCGCGUGCAGAGAGGCUAGUUAAUUAUAAAGUUGUAAGAUUUUGGAGCUAUUUUUAUAAGAGAAGUUUAUUUUAAACCCUGUUUCAGCUUUUUUUUUUUUUUUUUUUUACACACUUUACGUGGGAUUUCCACCGACUCCCGAAUCUGAGGCGUGACAUGCUUGGACCCAGCACUCAUCGCCCGCUUAUGCUCCUUCCACUUUAGUUGGUCCUGCUUUUUUGGUUUUUGGUUUUUAAACGAAGAGAUAUCGUUGAAACAAAAACUCAGUGCAAUAAAUCUUCCACCAAAGCAUCCAUACAUCUUCCACAAUACAUUUUAGAAUAAUUGAAGACUGCAAUUCG
rnacentral:lncRNA from 1 species